UACGAAGGGGGCUAGCGUUGCUCGGAAUUACUGGGCGUAAAGGGCGCGUAGGCGGCGAUAGUAGUCAGGCGUGAAAUUCCUGGGCUUAACCUGGGGGCUGCGCUUGAUACGCUAUGGCUAGAGGAUGGAAGAGGCUCGUGGAAUUCCCAGUGUAGAGGUGAAAUUCGUAGAUAUUGGGAAGAACACCGGUGGCGAAGGCGGCGAGCUGGUCCAUUACUGACGCUGAGGCGCGACAGCGUGGGGAGCAAACAGG
rnacentral:rRNA from 2 species